CGAAUGCUGACAUAAGUAACGAUAAAGCGGGUGAAAAGCCCGCUCGCCGGAAGACCAAGGGUUCCUGUCCAACGUUAAUCGGGGCAGGGUGAGUCGACCCCUAAGGCGAGGCCGAAAGGCGUAGUCGAUGGGAAACAGGUUAAUAUUCCUGUACUUGGUGUUACUGCGAAGGGGGGACGGAGAAGGCUAUGUUGGCCGGGCGACGGUUGUCCCGGUUUAAGCGUGUAGGCUGGUUUUCCAGGCAAAUCCGGAAAAUCAAGGCUGAGGCGUGAUGACGAGGCACUACGGUGCUGAAGCAACAAAUGCCCUGCUUCCAGGAAAAGCCUCUAAGCAUCAGGUAACAUCAAAUCGUACCCCAAACCGACACAGGUGGUCAGGUAGAGAAUACCAAGGCGCUUGAGAGAACUCGGGUGAAGGAACUAGGCAAAAUGGUGCCGUAACUUCGGGAGAAGGCACGCUGAUAUGUAGGUGAAGUCCCUCGCGGAUGGAGCUGAAAUCAGUCGAAGAUACCAGCUGGCUGCAACUGUUUAUUAAAAACACAGCACUGUGCAAACACGAAAGUGGACGUAUACGGUGUGACGCCUGCCCGGUGCCGGAAGGUUAAUUGAUGGGGUCAGCGCAAGCGAAGCUCUUGAUCGAAGCCCCGGU
rnacentral:rRNA from 1 species